UACGUAGGGCGCAAGCGUUAUCCGGAAUUACUGGGCGUAAAGCGCACGUAGGCGGCUAUUCAAGUCGGGGGUGAAAGCCCGGGGCUCAACCCCGGAACUGCCCUCGAAACUAGAUAGCUAGAAUCUUGGAGAGGCGAGUGGAAUUCCGAGUGUGGAGGUGAAAUUCGUAGAUAUUCGGAAGAACACCAGUGGCGAAGGCGACUCGCUGGACAAGUAUUGACGCUGAGGUGCGAAAGCGUGGGGAGCAAACAGG
rnacentral:rRNA from 1 species